UAUCUUCAGAAUCAGAAAUACUUUAAUAUAGGACCUCCAGUGCAAAUAAAGUAGUAGGAGAAGAGAAAUUACAGAUAAAAUAAGUUAAAAUAAAGAGAAUCAAAAUAUGCAAUAUGUUUACAGUUUUACAAUAUACACAUAUAUACACUUUAUACAAUACAACAUGGUACUUAUUAUUUUAAAAUACUUACGGUAAUUUGCUUUAAUGACGGCGACAUGUUUCAAAAAAGAAAAACACCCGAAGGAACAGCUGUUAACAGGUUUGUCACAUGACUGGAAAUAAAAAGAGGCGGAGUCUCAGAAGAAGGAUAGAGGGUCAUCACUCUGUGAGAGACUGCGAGAGCAAAAAGCCAAACAUGUUAAAACAACAUAAAACAUGAAAUUUAUGCAGAAAAGGACGAAAUAUUAAAGGGAUAUUCCGGCGUAAAAUCAAUUUAGGGUCAAACACACUGUAACACCGAGUUAGACACCCCCUCCAGAGAUGAAUGUUGCCGACCGCUUGCUUCUCUUGUUUUACCAACUUUAGUAACGACCGCAGGAUAGCAAUACAGAGAGACACGCCCUCAACCAAAACGCCACUCUAUAGCCACAAAUAAUGCUCAGAACAGCACCUAACUUCAUCAACAGGACAUAUAGGGUCACAGACAUAGUACUAGACACCAAACAUCUUUUUAACUUUGACUCAUUUCUUUAGCAAAGAGAAUAAACACAACUCACCUACUCUCUUCCAGCAGCCGCUUGUUUGACUCUGACAUGACUCUGUAGUGGAGGUUGCUGUAUGGGCUCAGAGUUUGAGGGACAGUUUCCUGACUUGAGUGAUCUUAUAACCUCUGAAAAAAGCUCUGUGUGAUGAUUUAAAUACUUUUAUCUAUAAGUGAGGGUUAAAUUCCCUCUUUUAGCCUCAUUAUUCCUCAUAUUUUUAUACUCAGACUGCAUUAAUCUAGUUUCUCCUUAAGUCUAGGAGCACCAUAACAAAGACUUUGAGUACCUCUGUCGCUCUCGAGUGUGAAAAUGUUCACAGAGAAAGUGAAAAAAAAUCCUCUUACGGCUUCAUUCAUGUAAUCUGUUUACAUCAACCCAAUUUAAAGCUUUUCCAACGAGUCCAAAGAGCUCCAUCUUGUUGGUAAUGGUCCUGCAAAGUGGACUUAAAGUCUGCACAGCCACAUAUUUUACUGACUGUUGUAAAUCACCGCUCCACGAUGGAGAAACACACUAACUCCUUGUAGCAACUCAGCAACAAAGAUAUCACUUUCUUAUCGGAGUCCAAAUUACUCCGACUUUUUCAAUUUAGCCGAGCUGGAGCGCUGCCAACUUUACUCAACCGCCGAUUAUUUAUUUAUGCUGCAGAGGAGAAAUCACUCAGCAGAAGACAACUGGCCCGCCUCACACUGCAGGGUGGGCGUUCACCUUUGUCACACACUCGCUCAUUACUUCACUGAGCAAUUUUCUUUGCAGAAGUAGCAGCGAGUUGUUUUUCUCAUCAACUUUUCUGGGUGUUAACAGGAGCUUUGUGGCUGGAAUAAAUCACUGAUAUCGUCUGGGGAGGGUAGCUGCAAGUGUAGCUCAUAUCUUCGUUUUUCCAUUAAAUCCCCGACUCUUUUUAUCCUCAGGAAUGACUUAUGAGGCUGAAAACAGAAUCUGCAGCUUCUUCCUCUUUCUACCAGCUGUUACUUAGUCUAAUGUGUGAGUUAAGUUUGUGUUUUCGUCUUUCUCAGGCCAGGAAAGUUUCUACAAACUCUCUCGUUCACUCAGAUUCCUCUGCAUAUCCAUGACGCAUUCAGGGACCGGCGUUGGCAGUGCCAGAAACACAGUGCAGCUGUCGGUCACCGCUGGAUCAGAUGUCAUGGUGAGAGGUGGAAAUCGCGCAGGCAGAGAGCCAGGAGUGUUAAUACUGCUGUCCCAGACAACAGGUGUGUGGCCGGAGGCAGCAGCACAGGCGGCGGUGACUGACAGUCUGCUUUUGUGUAAGGGGACGCCGUUUUCUGAGUAAUCAGGGACAGGAAAUGACCUACAGACUCAAAUAUGUGUCUGAUAAGAGAUUUCAGAUUCCUAGUUUUGAAGCAAAGUAUGUUGAAUUUUCUGUCCUCUAUCUGCAGCAGUCAAAACUGUUUGUGGUAAAUCAAAAGAACUGAAGUAGUCCAAUGGUUCUACGCCAGAUAAUGAUAUAAGGCCUCACAAAUUCAGGUUAUUUGGUCCUCUGGUUUUGUUUCAGAGACCGUUGAUGUUUUUAAGAAGAGGCUCAAGACUCACCUUUUUAACCAGGCUUUUUACCGAUCACCUUUUUAUAUUUCUCUUAAUUCAAAUGUUCAUUUUAAUCAAAGUUCUUAUUGUUUAUUUUAUGUCAUUUCAUUAAUAAUCUCUGUUCUUAGUCUUUUUCUUAAUUUCCGUCAAAGAGGUUUUUACUUCUUUUACCAUUUUUAUACGGUAAAGAGCUUUUACUUAUCUGUUCAUUUAAUAUUAUUUUCUUGUUUUUCUUUUUACCAUUUUUCUUUUUAUCUCCAGUGUUUCCCAGAGGUCGCUCUUUCCUCACAUAAUGUCUCGGUGUCAGGCUGUGUCAUGUCAUGGUGUCAUAUUUGCCCAAGUAAUCAUUUUAUGAGCAAAUAUGUGGCGACAUCAUGGAGGUAAAGCUCACUUAUUCCAACAUUAAACUGCACAGCUGCAGUACUACAGCCAGGCCAGCAGAUGAAGGGCUUCUGUUACCACUGUCUGCAUGGGCGCAGUACCUACUCUCUGCCUGCGGGGGCCGUCUUUCCCCACCGCUUAUCUAGUGUGUCCGAAUUGGGCCAACGUGUUUAGUAUAUAGGAGUAGGAUCUAGCAGUAGUAUGUAGCAGUAGCAUGUAGUAUCCGAGCGGGCAAUUCGGACACAGCAUUGGUUUACGCUUUUUCUGCCUCUAACACAUGUGCUGCGUCCGAAUUGCCCGCUCGGGUACUACAUGCUACUGCUACAUACUACUGCUAGAUCCUGUUCAUGAGUUUUUUAAACAUAGAUUUUCAUUUUAGUGUCACUUGAAAUAAAUUGCAAUUGAAAGUUGAAGCUUGUGUUUGUUUUUAUUUUAAGAAAAAAGCUGCUGAUGUUAACUCCCUAAUCUUUUGGAUUAUUUGUGCUUUUGGUUUCUUCAUUAUGAUUAUUAUUAUUAUUAUUAUUAACUGAGAAGUACUAUGAAUGUACUAAAGGGAUAAAGUGAUUUUACUCCAGAAUUGAGUUAGCAAUAAUUUAUUUAAAGCCUCUGUCUGGAGUUUGGCACCCCCUUGUGGACAAACCUAUACCUCUAUAUCCUUAUAGUAGGCCAUGUGGCUUGUGUGUCCACAUGGCUCACAGGAUAAGAACAUUGACUGGGACUCCUCAGGUCAUGGGUUCAAACCUUAUUCAGGAUGAAUGAAUUUUAAAGCACCUGCAUUUCGUUGGUGUGAGCAAUGUUCUGGGUCUAAUCACAUUGAAAUAAUGCCAAGCCUUGUCUUCAUCUGUCAGCUCCUCCAAAAUGUAAAAACACAAACAAGAUAACUCCUGCUAAAUUUUCCAACCAUCAAUUUUUUUAUUCACCCAGCCUAAAAGUACUGAUAAUCAGUUCUGGAUCCUUGGCAAUGACUGUUGGGUACAAACUGUGAAGCUCUGUUCUGAAGGUGGGACUGGGCUUUUGAUUGGCCAUGUCAAUCAAAAGCCCAGUGUGGGGCUGUGUCCACAUGGCUCAGAGGAUAAGGAGACUGCCUGGCACUCUUAAGGUUGUGGUUUCAAGCCUCACCUUACCCAAGUUGAGGUGAAUUUUAAAGCCUUGUGUCUACAAAGGGCAGUGAAAUAGGAAAAAACCAGAAGAGUCCUCUGUAUCCACAUGGCUCAGAGUAUAAGGAGACUCACUGGCAAUCCUAAGGUCGUGCGUUCAAAUCUUGUACAGGGUGUAUUUUAUAGUCCAGCAGCCAAAGUUCCAAGAUAAAAGGGCACGAACAUCAUCCCCAAAUGUGGACGGUAUCCGGUGGCGCAGGGGGUAUGCAACUGACACCAGAAUGCUGGUCAGCUGGGCAGCCCUGGUUCGAAACCCGCUCAGCCCAGUGGUCUGGGCUUACCCCCCCGGUGUUUGCAGAGAGAGAAAAUAGGGGGGUUAUGCUAAAGGAAGUCAGAGCAGGCUGAACUUUAGAGUAAGGAUGGGGAGAAGGGUUGAUGGGGGGGAUGAUAGGGGCGGAUGGCUGAGGGCGUAGUCCUCUGCUCAGCCGAUGGUCAUUCGCCGCGCGGCGGAUGGCCGGUCGCUGAGCAGAGGGCGUCCCCAAUAGGCUUGAACCCACUGACCCGUGUGGACACACGCGACAACAAUAAUUUUUUUCAUAUAUCACUGUACUUUGUAGACUCUAGACCUUCAAAAUUCACCAAGAAGUGGACAAGGUAGGACUCAAACCUAUGACCUCAGGAGUCACAGUCAGUGUUCUUAUCCCCUGAGCCACUUGGACACACAGGAUUAUACCACUUGUUUCCUCUUUCAGUUUCCUGUGUAGACACUAGACUUCAAAAUUCCCCUUGUCCCAAAAAAGGCUCGAACACACCACCUCAUAGUAGGGUCUGUUAACUUGAAAAAAUGGCCAAAUUGUUAUGCGGUGGAUAAAAGCACCAAAUUUGGUACACACAUUCUUCAGGGUGUAUCUCAUCAUCUCAGAAGGGGUGCCCAAAAAUGCAUGAGUGAAAAUGGCUCAAAUGGAGGUCGUAUACCUGACCCAGUACAAAAGUCUCUCGUUGAUUUAUUUAGCAGGAAAAAGGGAGUCGAUCUCUGCUGCUCUGAAACCACAUCUGAGUCCAAAAACAAAGACAAAGAAUAACUUCAUACUGCAAAACCAAGUGUGACGCCUGUCAGGAAACCUUAUAAAUCACAGCAUGAAGAUGGCGGGGGGUUAUUAUUAUAUGCCAUAAUAAGGUGUUGGUGUCUCUGCAGGUGUAGGUUACCGUCGGUGUCAGAGACGUGGUGCUCGUCUGAGCUCGACUCCCUCUGGAUCACAAAUGUUGAUCAUCAUCAGUUUGAUUGUUUCUUCAGAAACCACAAAAUCUUGCUGAAUGACCCGCUGAUACAUCCACAGAUAACCCUGCAGAUGACCAGCUUCAGUCAUUUCCCCCUCCACAAAAGCAGCUUUAUGACUUUAUUUACUUUAUGACUUUAUUCUCCUAAAUUUACAACUUUAAUCUCUAAAUCUUAAAAGAAAAAAAAACUCAAUGUUGUCCUGAUCCUCUGCUGUAGUUUUGUCAGCUUUCUUAUUUCUAAUGUUUUUGAUAGUUGUAGCAGAGCGGAUCAGUUGUCUCUAAAUCUAUAAUGUUUGGUUUACAGAUUUUAGUGAGUUCAGAGAUCAUGCUCUCAUACAGCCUGAGCUGACUGUCUGCUGGUUUUGGAUUUCUUGUAUUUUCUUUGAAGACUCGCUGUGUCUCCAAGCGAGUCCAGCCUCUCACCUGAAAUGCGCAGCUGUGCAGCGGCACGCAAAGCAUUCUGGGAUACCGACGGCACGAAAAAAUGCUAAGCGCGCUUAGCAUUUCUUAGCAUCUCGUGCCAAAUGGGACACCGUUCGCGCCGUCGUGACGUCACGCACGCUUCAAAUGCACCGUUCGACGGUGCAGAAGUGCACUUAGCCCGAUGCGGUCUCUGAAAUGAGACACAGCCCAGGUAUCCUGUGGAGGGCAGCGUUACGCUCCUUACGUACAGUCUCUGCCGGAAAUUCAUGAGAAGAAGAAGAAAGGUAUCAGUCAAAGAACCGUUGUUGGCGACUCUCGCCCAAUUAUCAGAAAAUUCGACGUUUUAAUCGGUGAAACAUGGUGGUUGUAACUUGGAAACACAUCAGAAGUCUUAUAAGAGUGUUAAAGUAACAUUUUGUGUUAGUGGAUGUCAACUUUGUAGGAGUUUUGAAGCUUGUCAGUGUGACUUGAAACCAAGCCCCAUCUUAACAACAGCAUUAAACAGUUUAUAUCCAUUAUUACCCCCGCCGAUGUAGAAAGGGUCGUUUAUGCAUUCAUCUUCUUAAAGUUAGACUACUUUAACUCCCUUUUCUUAGGUCUCUGUAACAAAUCACUUUCCCGCUUCCAACUGGUUCCGGAACGCAGCAGCUCGGCUGGUUUGAACUGAUUUUAACUGACGGUUUCACAUCACUCUCUUACUGAUCACUUUCAGACUCGACAGUGCGACCAUUUCACUCGCAUUUGCGACUAAAUAUAGAGGUGUGCGAAUUGUAAAAUGUAUUUAGGGGCACACAAAAAAAUCAGCCGAGGCAACAAAUGUUUUUUCAUGUAAACACCGCAGUGAAGUUAGUUUUAGGUUGGAUAUUGGAAUCCACAGGGCACCCUCGCUGUCAACAUCGGGUGUUGAAUAAGGGACCAUCAAUAAAUUACCGGUUGAUGUUCUCAAAAAAGCUGUUGGUAGGUCUGGCCCCAACCUACAUAUCCGAUUUAUUGACUCCCUAUGUGCCAGCCCACAGCCUUAGGUCCAAAGUCGAGGCUAAAGGCGAAAGGUGAUCAAGCCUUUUUCUGUCAGGGCUCCUUGACUUUGUAACGCUGAAUCAGUAACAUCUUUUAAAUCAUAAAUUUUACAUGAUGCAUGAUUGACUUAUUUAUUUAUCUUAUUGCCUGCUAAAUAAAGUUAUUAUUGUUAUAGUCAGGCGCAAAUAUGACUUUCUAACAAAUCUCUCCAUGUUUUUUUUCAGGUCCUUAAAAUGACCAUUACUUCUUUGUAUUAAUUCAAGAUUAGGAAUACUGGCGCCUGAGACAUGUUUAGACCAUGUAAUAUUCUAGUUAGCAUAUUUGUAUGAUAGAUAAGUGAUUACAAGCACAACUUGUGACCCACAGACAGUGUCGCAUGGAGAUCUUUGAAUGUUUAGGGGUGGUGAGAGUAUUUUCUCAUUUACAGAGUGAUAAAAAGAGAUAUCCAAAGUCCUCUUCUGACUCUAGUAUGUCAACAAAAUAAAAAAAGAAUUUUGAAAGGGUUUUUAUCCAUUGUCCAGUUUUCGGUUCUGGAAAUGUCUGCAAAUUCACACAUAUUUAAUUAGAUGUUACCUUAUUUAGAUGUUCAAACAUAACAUCUGACAAAACUUGUAAUACAAAAAUUAUUUGUCUUAAUGUAAGUUAUAAACUUGGGAAGUUUUAUGGUGAUAUCUGUUAGCUAAAAAUUUUACUGUAUUCACCUGGGCCUCCAACCCAUUAUGGAUACCAUCUUGAAAAUGACACCUUUCUAGUGGUCAAACUUUGGUAAACUUUAGUUUGUUAUUAAGGACAUCUAAUACUAUAAAAAACAGCUGAGAAACAUUUUGUUAGAAUUUGUUUAGGGUUAGGUUUUUCUUUUAAAUAUGUACCUGCCUUUUAUAUUUUCAGAUUUUCCCCGUUAAUCUCAGUAAAAUUUUUCAUGUGACUAUUAAAACAUUUUUAAUAACAACUUUGUAGUUUUAGCUCCUUUUAAACUGCUGUAGUCUUGUUGCUGUUAAAUGUUGUAUAUCUUCUCUACAGCCUCCUUCGUGUGCAUUUCUGUGAAUUGUUGUGUUGGUAAGACAUCUUCAGCUCAAGAUUUCACAGAGAAAACUUCCAGUAACUCUUGACUGAUUUCUCCACAUUUCACAGGACACUGGCGGUGGUGGUGGUUGUGGCCCCCUCUCUCCUCUCCGUGGUCUCUGAAGUGGGACUGAAGAGCCCAGACUCUCUGAAAAGGAAAUGACUCACACAGGCUAUGGACGGCGAGGCGCGAAGCGGUAGCAGCAAGGUACAAGUACAUGUCUCUCUCACAGAAGUUCACAGAAAUAAGAGUGUGAGGAGCCGCUGAUGGAGGCUUUUAACCACAGGUGACUUAGUUCAUCGUGAAUUCUGAGAACCACAGAGAGAUACUGAGAGUCGCUUUUUUGUUUUCUAAUGUCACCAUGUGAACCAACCUCUGUCCUUUUUCCAUUUUAACCAUAGACAUGUUAUAAAAGCGCAACAUUCAGAGGAUUCAGAGGAGCUUUGUUACCUAUAUGAAGGAUGAUGUACAGCAAGUGUGGUUGUCGUAGCAGGGCCGCGACUUUUCUGUUCUUGGUUUCUCUGCUUUUUUGUGGAUUAAUAUAUCCGUCAGUCUCUUAAGGUGGAUGUAGAGUUCAAUAUUAGAGUGGUUUAAGUCGUUUUCCAAGCACCGGUUAGCUUCUUGUGACAACAGUCUGCUAUUGAGAGAUGAUGAAAAGUGAGGUAUGGAUAUUCAAAAUAAGUGGCAACAACAGAAUGAUGAUUGAUACCAGUCUUAGUGGAGGUUGGCUGAGUUUGGCAUAAAAGCCCACACUUUUGGUUGUAAAGGCCGAUCAGGUGCGCAGAACAGACGUGACGUUACACUUAAAGGGAUAUUCUGGCUUAAAAUUAAUUUAGGGUCAAACACACCGUAACACCGAGUUAGACCCCCCCUCCAGAGAUGAAUGUUGUCAACCGCUUGCUUCUCUAGUUCACCAACUUUAGUAACGACCGCAGGAUAGCAAUACAGAGAGCCACGCCCUCAACCAAAACGCCACUCCAUUACGGACUACAGCAGGGGAACGCAGCUCAAGGAAGAACAUUUAUGAUAAUUUCUUAAUCAUUUCCUUGAAGUAAUAAUCACUAUAUUAAUCAUUUUGCUCUGCAGACGCGGUAGUUCCCAAUCAUCUGAGUCCCAAUCUUAUAUUUGUAUUUGUCAAGUGAAUGAGCUGAUAAAAGAAGCUGUUAGAGAUCUGAGACCCUGUUAUUUAGGGUGGAAAAAAGUGUGUAAUCAUAAAGAAAGAUGAGGGCAGCAUUCGCUUUUUGACUGAGAUGCUGAUUUGUUGAAUCGGUGAAUUAAUCUGUCUGUUUCUGCUUUUGGAUUCUGCCAAAUUGUUCUUGAAAUUAUUCUGUCUGGUUGUGUGAGUUUCUAGUUUCUCUCGCUCAGGGUUGAAUAUUUAGAAAGCUUCUUUUGGAUGCUCCUCGGAGGCCUGUUAAUCCAAAGUGUGUUUAAGCAGAACCAGGAUUUAAAGACUUGUCACUAGUCUGUGUUUGGUUUAGAAAAAGAAACCCGCCUCCUUUCUCUCUCUUUCCCUCUCUUUCUCUCUCUCCGUCUUUGUCUCGCACACUCUACAUACAGCCUCUGCCUGUGCUGCAAUCUCUAUUUUCAUGCCACUGGCACAAAGGUCUACAAUCACUGCAGCACUCCGCCUGCCUCAGAGUCAAUAAAGUCUUGUCUGAAUUGCUUCUCGUAUCAAACGGUGGAGGCAGUAUGCUAAUAUUAUCCCUCAGACAGACUUCUUGUUCCAGUGUUUGGCUCGGGCUUAGAGUUUCGCUGUGCCAGAAAUGAGCUGCCACUUUGAUGACACAUUAAAAUAUUCUGACAUGAAAACAGGGAAAUCCAUCUCCCUGCUGAGUGCUGCCACUCACAGUCAGGAAAAGGCAUUGUUGAAGGUGACUGUGGGGAAUGUUAAUGAGGGACGGGUCCUUUACUUCUCCUCCAUUAUGCAUCUGGAGGACUUUGAAGGUUGCCUAUGGAGCUCUGACUGUCUUGUUCUUCGUCUUGUAAUGAUGUGUAACUUU